UACGGAGGGUGCGAGCGUUGUCCGGAAUCACUGGGCGUAGAGGGCGCGUAGGCGGCAGGCCAAGCGUGCGGUGAAAGUCCGGGGCUCAACCCCGGAUCUGCCGUGCGGACUGGUUUGCUAGAGCACUGUAGAGGCGAGUGGAAUUCCGGGUGUAGCGGUGGAAUGCGUAGAGAUCCGGAAGAACACCGGUGGCGAAGGCGGCUCGCUGGGCAGUGGCUGACGCUGAGGCGCGACAGCGUGGGGAGCAAACAGG
rnacentral:rRNA from 1 species